rnacentral:rRNA from 1 species
UUUUAACACGAAGUGAGUGGCGGACGGGUGAGUAACACGUGGGUAACCUGCCCAGAAGCAGGGGAUAACACCUGGAAACAGAUGCUAAUACCGUAUAACAGAGAAAACCGCCUGGUUUUCUUUUAAAAGAUGGCUCUGCUAUCACUUCUGGAUGGACCCGCGGCGCAUUAGCUAGUUGGUGAGG